CCUACGGGUGGCAGCAGUGGGGAAUAUUGGACAAUAGGGGGAACCCUGAUCCAGCCAUGCCGCGUGUGUGAAGAAGGCCCUCGGGUUGUAAAGCACUUUCAGGGAGGAAGAACGCCUGGUGGUUAAUACCCAUCAGGAAAGACAUCACUCACAGAAGAAGCACCGGCUAACUCCGUGCCAGCAGCCGCGGUAAUACGGAGGGUGCGAGCGUUAAUCGGAAUUACUGGGCGUAAAGCGCGCGUAGGUGGCUUGAUAAGCCGGUUGUGAAAGCCCCGGGCUCAACCUGGGAACGGCAUCCGGAACUGUCAAGCUAGAGUGCAGGAGAGGAAGGUAGAAUUCCCGGUGUAGCGGUGAAAUGCGUAGAGAUCGGGAGGAAUACCAGUGGCGAAGGCGGCCUUCUGGACUGACACUGACACUGAGGUGCGAAAGCGUGGGUAGCAAACAGGAUUAGAUACCCUGGUAGUC
rnacentral:rRNA from 1 species